rnacentral:rRNA from 1 species
AGAGUUUGAUCCUGGCUCAGGAUGAACGCCGGCGGUGUGCNUAAUACAUGCAAGUCGUACGCACUGGCCCAACUGAUUAAUGGUGCUUGCACCUGAUUGACGAUGGAUCACCAGUGAGUGGCGGACGGGUGAGUAACACGUAGGUAACCUGCCCCGGAGCGGGGGAUAACAUUUGGAAACAGAUGCUAAUACCGCAUAACAACAAAAGCCACAUGGCUUUUGUUUGAAAGAUGGCUUCGGCUAUCACUCUGGGAUGGACCUGCGGUGCAUUAGCUAGUUGGUAAGGUAACGGCUUACCAAGGCGAUGAUGCAUAGCCGAGUUGAGAGACUGAUCGGCCACAAUGGAACUGAGACACGGUCCAUACUCCUACGGGAGGCAGCAGUAGGGAAUCUUCCACAAUGGGCGCAAGCCUGAUGGAGCAACACCGCGUGAGUGAAGAAGGGUUUCGGCUCGUAAAGCUCUGUUGUUGGAGAAGCACGUGCGUGAGAGUAACUGUUCACGCAGUGACGGUAUCCAACCAGAAAGUCACGGCUAACUACGUGCCAGCAGCCGCGGUAAUACGUAGGUGGCAAGCGUUAUCCGGAUUUAUUGGGCGUAAAGCGAGCGCAGGCGGUUGCUUAGGUCUGAUGUGAAAGCCUUCGGCUUAACCGAAGAAGUGCAUCGGAAACCGGGCAACUUGAGUGCAGAAGAGGACAGUGGAACUCCAUGUGUAGCGGUGGAAUGCGUAGAUAUAUGGAAGAACACCAGUGGCGAAGGCGGCUGUCUGGUCUGCAACUGACGCUGAGGCUCGAAAGCAUGGGUAGCGAACAGGAUUAGAUACCCUGGUAGCCCAUGCCGUAAACGAUGAGUGCUAGGUGUUGGAGGGUUUCCGUCCCUUCAGUGCGGAGCU